UAGUAAUGCAAGUCGAGCGAACAGAAGGGAGCUUGCUCCCGGAUGUUAGCGGCGGACGGGUGAGUAACACGUGGGUAACCUGCCUGUAAGACUGGGAUAACUCCGGGAAACCGGAGCUAAUACCGGAUAGUUCCUUGAACCGCAUGGUUCAAGGAUGAAAGACGGUUUCGGCUGUCACUUACAGAUGGACCCGCGGCGCAUUAGCUAGUUGGUGGGGUAAUGGCUCACCAAGGCGACGAUGCGUAGCCGACCUGAGAGGGUGAUCGGCCACACUGGGACUGAGACACGGCCCAGACUCCUACGGGAGGCAGCAGUAGGGAAUCUUCCGCAAUGGACGAAAGUCUGACGGAGCAACGCCGCGUGAGUGAUGAAGGUUUUCGGAUCGUAAAGCUCUGUUGUUAGGGAAGAACAAGUGCGAGAGUAACUGCUCGCACCUUGACGGUACCUAACCAGAAAGCCACGGCUAACUACGUGCCAGCAGCCGCGGUAAUACGUAGGUGGCAAGCGUUGUCCGGAAUUAUUGGGCGUAAAGGGCUCGCAGGCGGUUUCUUAAGUCUGAUGUGAAAGCCCCCGGCUCAACCGGGGAGGGUCAUUGGAAACUGGGAAACUUGAGUGCAGAAGAGGAGAGUGGAAUUCCACGUGUAGCGGUGAAAUGCGUAGAGAUGUGGAGGAACACCAGUGGCGAAGGCGACUCUCUGGUCUGUAACUGACGCUGAGGAGCGAAAGCGUGGGGAGCGAACAGGAUUAGAUACCCUGGUAGUCCACGCCGUAAACGAUGAGUGCUAGUGGUUAGGGGGUUUCCGCCCCUUAGUGCUGCAGCUAACGCAUUAAGCACUCCGCCUGGGGGAGUACGGUCGCAAGACUGAAACUCAAAGGAAUUGACGGGGGCCCGCACAGCGGUGGAAGCAUGUGGUUUAAUUCGAAGCACGCGAAGAACCUUACCAGGUCUUGACAUCUCUGACACCCUAGAGAUA
rnacentral:rRNA from 1 species